rnacentral:rRNA from 1 species
GAUGAACGCUGGCGGCGUGCCUAAUACAUGCAAGUCGAGCGAACAGAUGAGGAGCUUGCUCCUCUGACGUUAGCGGCGGACGGGUGAGUAACACGUGGAUAACCUACCUAUAUGACUGGGUUAAUUUCGGAAAACCGGACCAAUUACGGGUGAAUAAUUUAAACGGCUGGGUUCAUUAGUAAAUACCGGUUUUCCUGUAAUUAUUAGUGGAUUCCGCGCCGAAUUGGCUAGUUGGUAAGGUAACGGCUUACCAAGGAAACGAUGCGUAGCCGACCUGAGAGGGUGAUCGGCCACACUGGAACUGAGACACGGUCCAGACUCCUACGGGAGGCAGCAGUAGGGAAUCUUCCGCAAUGGGCGAAAGCCUGACGGAGCCACGCCGCGUGAGUGAUGAAGGUCUUCGGAUCGUAAAACUCUGUUAUUAGGGAAGAACAAAUGUGUAAGUAACUAUGCACGUAUUGACGGUACCUAAUCAGAAAGCCACGGCUAACUACGUG